GUUGCGUUUCACGCUCUGGGAGCCCGGGUGUCAAAGCCCGACUCUCUUCACGGUCGGACAACAUCGCCGGAGUGGUGGUCGGUGCGUCGUUGUUGUAUCUGCGGCCAGAGUUGGAAAGUUCUUUCGGGUUCUUUUUUAAUUUUGGUCGUAGUUGACUCGAUUCGCUCCACCCAGUCAAUCGUUCGGGGUGCCCUUCACCGGGUGUCUCGGGCGGCCGGCAACGUUUACUUUGAACAAAUUAGAGUGCUCAAAGCAGGUGUAUCCCAACGCCUGAAUAUCGCAGCAUGGAAUGAUGGAAUAGGACCUCGGUCCGAUUUUGCUGGUCUUUUACUUUUGGACCCGAGGUAAUGGUCAAUAGAGACGGACGGGGGCAUUCGUACUGCGGCGACAGAGGUGAAAUUCUUGGACCGCCGCAAGACGAACAACAGCGAAGGCAUUUGCCAAGAAUGUUUUCCUUGAUCAAGAACGAAAGUUAGAGGUUCGAAGGCGAUCAGAUACCGCCCUAGUUCUAACCAUAAACGAUGCCAACCAGCAAUCCGUCGGAGUUACUCCAAUGACUCGACGGGCAGCUUCCGGGAAACCAAAGUCUUUGGGUUCCGGGGGAAGUAUGGUUGCAAAGCUGAAACUUAAAGGAAUUGACGGAAGGGCACCACCAGGAGUGGAGCCUGCGGCUUAAUUUGACUCAACACGGGAAACCUCACCAGGCCCGGACACUGGAAGGAUUGACAGAUUGAGAGCUCUUUCUUGAUUCGGUGGGUGGUGGUGCAUGNCCGUUCUUAGUUGGUGGAGCGAUUUGUCUGGUUAAUUCCGAUAACGAACGAGACUCUAGCCUGCUAAAUAGGUGACGGGUUUUAUCAAUUGAAACCGAAGGGAGUACGGAGGCGUCGGGAUCAGGUGGCGGCGAUUCGGGUCUCGGUGGGACUGGUUCCUUUAGUGAGGCAAUCUCUCGGCUUGGUUUCGUUGUGCUUUGUUCGUCGGGUGUACGGCCUUCACGGGUUGGUUGCCUGGCGGAUGAGGUAUGGCGGGGCUUUGUCGGGAAUGUCUCGCGGGGGCUGGCUCUAUUGUUAUUCGGUCGUCGUCAUCCCCGGCGAUACCUUCUGCUCUCGCGUCCGUCACGCAGUCUUCUUAGAGGGACAAGCGGCGUCCAGCCGCGUGACAGUGAGCAAUAACAGGUCUGUGAUGCCCUUAGAUGUCCUGGGCCGCACGCGCGCUACACUGAAGGAAUCAGCGUGUUUCACUCUCCCUGUCCGAAAGGACCGGGUAACCGCUGAACCUCCUUCGUGGUUGGGAUUGGGGACUGCAAUGAUCCCCAUGAACCAGGAAUCCCUAGUAGGCGCGGGUCACUAGCCCGCGUCGAUUACGUCCCUGCCCUUUGUACACACCGCCCGUCGCUACUACCGAUUGAAUGAUUUAGUGAGGCCUUCGGACGGGCUUGUCGGGGUGCCGUCGAGUGGGGAGCAAUCUCUGCCCGUGCGGUGCCUACCAACGGCGAGACUGAAAGAUGGUCGAACUUGAUCCUUUAGAGGAAGUA
rnacentral:rRNA from 1 species